GCUUUCAUCGGACAGAGUCGACAGAGUGUUCGAUCACUUACGUAACUAGCAACUGAAACUGCCCGAUAUCAACAGCAAAUCAGAUAACGCGAAACGAUGGAUAGAAGUAAUCAAAAUAACUCUGCGAACCAGAAAAACUCCAAUAACUCAUCUUACUGGAGUUCAAGAGGGAUGGAGAAACCGAAAGAUCAUCAAGCAACAAAAAGUUAUUGCAAUUUAUCAAAGAAAGAACAAGACAACAGAUCGAAACAGAUGAACCCCAACAAUCAAACGUAUUACAGCAGUAGAAAAUGAGGAAUAAUUAUGAGGAAGAAUGGCUGUUUCUACAAGG